UUAUCCUUUGUUGCCAGCGAGUCAUGUCGGGAACUCAAAGGAGACUGCCGGUGAUAAACCGGAGGAAGGUGGGGAUGACGUCAAGUCAUCAUGGCCCUUACGAGUAGGGCUACACACGUGCUACAAUGGCAUAUACAAAGAGAAGCGAACUCGCGAGAGCAAGCGGACCUCAUAAAGUAUGUCGUAGUCCGGAUUGGAGUCUGCAACUCGACUCCAUGAAGUCGGAAUCGCUAGUAAUCGUAGAUCAGAAUGCUACGGUGAAUACGUU
rnacentral:rRNA from 1 species